rnacentral:rRNA from 1 species
UACGUAGGGUGCAAGCGUUAAUCGGAAUUACUGGGCGUAAAGCGUGCGCAGGCGGUUUUGUAAGUCUGUCGUGAAAUCCUCGGGCUCAACCUGAGAAUUGCGAUGGAGACUGCAAGGCUAGAAUCUGGCAGAGGGGGGUAGAAUUCCACGUGUAGCAGUGAAAUGCGUAGAGAUGUGGAGGAACACCGAUGGCGAAGGCAAUCCCCUGGGCCUGCACUGACGCUCAUGCACGAAAGCGUGGGGAGCAAACAGG